rnacentral:rRNA from 1 species
GUGGGGAAUAUUGGGCAAUGGGGGAAACCCUGACCCAGCGACGCCGCGUGAGGGAAGAAGGCCUUAGGGUCGUAAAUCUCUGUUGUGUGGGAAGAAGAGCGUGACGGUACCACACGAGGAAGUCCCGGCUAACUACGUGCCAGCAGCCGCGGUAAUACGUAGGGGACGAGCGUUGUCCGGAUUUACUGGGCGUAAAGGGCGCGUAGGCGGUCAUUUAAGUCAGCUGUGAAAUGGUUUGGCUUAACCGGAUCAUGCGGUUGAAACUGGAUGACUGGAGUGCUGGAGAGGCAAGUGGAAUUCCCAGUGUAGCGGUGAAAUGCGUAGAUAUUGGGAAGAACACCGGUGGCGAAGGCGACUUGCUGGGCAGCAACUGACGCUGAGGCGCGAAAGCCAGGGGAGCAAACGGGAUUAGAAACCCGAGUAGUCC